GGGUAAUAGCUCAGUGGUAGAGCGCAUGCUUAGCAUGCAGGCGUCCUCGGGUUCAAUCCCCAGUAUAUUCA
rnacentral:tRNA from 1 species